rnacentral:misc_RNA from 1 species
GAUGAAGAACGCAGCGAAAUGCGAUAAGUAAUGUGAAUUGCAGAAUUCAGUGAAUCAUCGAAUCUUUGAACGCACAUUGCGCCCGCCAGUAUUCUGGCGGGCAUGCCUGUUCGAGCGUCAUUUCAACCAUCAAGCCCCCGGCUUGUGUUGGGGACCUGCGGCUCCCGCAGGCCCUGAAAAGCAGUGGCGGGCUCGCUGUCACACCGAGCGUAGUAGCAUACAUCUCGCUCUGGGCGUGCUGCGGGUUCCGGCCGUAAAACCACCUUCAUAACCCAAGGUUGACCUCGGAUCAGGUAGGAAGACCCGCUGAACUUAAGCAUAUCAAUAAGCGGAGGA